AGUGGUUAUGGUAUUGCACUCACAAUCUGGGGAUCAUGAUUUCAAUUCCUAGACUGAGUGGUGCAUUGUGUUCACGGGCAAAACUAUUUGAC